rnacentral:rRNA from 1 species
GAUGAACGCUGGCGGCGUGCCUAAUACAUGCAAGUCGAGCGAACAGACGAGGAGCUUGCUCCUCUGACGUUAGCGGCGGACGGGUGAGAAACACGUGGAUAACCUACCUAUAAGACUGGGAUAACUUCGGGAAACCGGAGCUAAUACCGGAUAAUAUAUUGAACCGCAUGGUUCAAUAGUGAAAGACGGUUUUGCUGUCACUUAUAGAUGGAUCCGCGCCGCAUUAGCUAGUUGGUAAGGUAACGGCUUACCAAGGCAACGAUGCGUAGCCGACCUGAGAGGGUGAUCGGCCACACUGGAACUGAGACACGGUCCAGACUCCUACGGGAGGCAGCAGUAGGGAAUCUUCCGCAAAGGGCGAAAGCCUGACGGAGCAACGCCGCGUGAGUGAUGAAGGUCUUCGGAUCGUAAAACUCUGUUAUUAGGGAAGAACAAAUGUGUAAGUAACUAUGCACGUCUUGACGGUACCUAAUCAGAAAGCCACGGCUAACUACGUG